rnacentral:lncRNA from 1 species
AAGACCAUAUCCUUGGCCUUCUCUCUGUAGAUCUAUGUAAUGAAUUUCUUUACUUCUAGGACAGCUCAUUACUUGUAGGACUGAUAUAUGUGUAUUUCUUCCUUUAUAACAAAACAUGCCGAAGCUCCCUAGAGACCUUAGCUAAUUGCAUCUUUCAAACAUAGUUUUCUGAUGUCACCUUGUGUUUAUCAGCAACUUUAAAAAUCUUUUGAAGGAGAUAGUUGGAGUUUAUCUGUGUGAAAUUUACAAUAGUUAAGUGACAGGGGAGAGCAUUUCCUAACUAGAAAGAGUACAUUCUAGUUAAUGAGUAGGGACCUUGAAAUCUUCUGUACUUUUCCACAACUGAAGGGGUGCAUAUUUUUGGUUGGAAGUGAGUAGGCGAAAUUUAGUCCUGCUGUUCUGGUAGUCUUGAUGGCUUAGAAAUCUCUUUAUUGUAGUUUCAUAAUCCCUGACAUGACUGUCCAGCUCUCGUGUCUGCUAAAUACAGAAAUAGAGGAAGGAAAUGUAUGUUUUGGCUCCUUUAAAAUGGAGCUUAUCAGACUCUAUGUAGGAGGAGUAGACUUUGUUGAAGAUGCGUCUAUUUGCCAGCUGGUUAGCAUGUGCACGGGGCGAGUUUCCUGUCUGCUAAAGCUGUGUGCUGCCCUUCAGUGAUGGGAAGGAGCACAUUAUUAAAUGGGUCGUAGUGUUUUCACUUGUGAAAAUCAGGGUGCAGAGGGCAUGCAAACUUUGCCCAGAGGCUG